GACGAACGCUGGCGGCGUGCUUAACACAUGCAAGUCGAACGGUAAGGCCCUUCGGGGUACACGAGUGGCGAACGGGUGAGUAACACGUGGGUGAUCUGCCCUGCACUUCGGGAUAAGCCUGGGAAACUGGGUCUAAUACCGGAUAGGACCCUGGGAUGCAUGUCCUGGGGUGGAAAGCUUUUGCGGUGUGGGAUGGGCCCGCGGCCUAUCAGCUUGUUGGUGGGGUGGUGGCCUACCAAGGCGACGACGGGGAGCCGGUCUGGGAGGGUGACCGGCCACACUGGGACUGAGAUACGGCCCAGACUCCUACGGGAGGCAGCAGUGGGGAAUAUUGCACAAUGGGCGCAAGCCUGAUGCAGCGACGCCGCGUGAGGGAUGACGGCCUUCGGGUUGUAAACCUCUUUCAGCACCGACGAAGCGCAAGUGACGGUAGGUGCAGAAGAAGGACCGGCCAACUACGUGCCAGCCGCCGCGGUAA
rnacentral:rRNA from 1 species